rnacentral:rRNA from 1 species
AACGAACGCUAGCGGCAUGCCUAACACAUGCAAGUCGAACGAGAUCUUCGGGUCUAGUGGCGCACGGGUGCGUAACGCGUGGGAAUCUGCCCUUUGGUUCGGAAUAACAGUUGGAAACGACUGCUAAUACCGGAUGAUGACGAAAGUCCAAAGAUUUAUCGCCAGAGGAUGAGCCCGCGUAGGAUUAGCUAGUUGGUGUGGUAAAGGCGCACCAAGGCGACGAUCCUUAGCUGGUCUGAGAGGAUGAUCAGCCACACUGGGACUGAGACACGGCCCAGACUCCGACUGGAGGCAGCAGUGGGGAAUAUUGGACAAUGGGCGAAAGCCUGAUCCAGCAAUGCCGCGUGAGUGAUGAAGGCCUUAGUGUUGUAAAGCUCUUUUACCCGGGAUGAUAAUGACAGUACCGGUAGAAUAAGCUCCGGCUAACUCCGUGCCAGCAGCCGCCGCCG